rnacentral:misc_RNA from 1 species
CCGAGUUUACAAACUCCCAAACCCUUUGUGAACCUUACCAUAACGUUGCUUCGGCGGGACCGCCCCGGCGCCCUCGCGGCCCGGACCCAGGCGCCCGCCGGAGACCCCAAACUCUAUGUUUUACUGUACAUCUCCUCUGAGUGACACAUAAACAAUAAAUAA